AUUGAACGCUGGCGGCAGGCCUAACACAUGCAAGUCGAGCGGAUGAAGGGAGCUUGCUCCUGGAUUCAGCGGCGGACGGGUGAGUAAUGCCUAGGAAUCUGCCUGGUAGUGGGGGAUAACGUCCGGAAGCGGGCGCUAAUACCGCAUACGUCCUGAGGGAGAAAGUGGGGGAUCUUCGGACCUCACGCUAUCAGAUGAGCCUAGGUCGGAUUAGCUAGUUGGUGGGGUAAAGGCCUACCAAGGCGACGAUCCGUAACUGGUCUGAGAGGAUGAUCAGUCACACUGGAACUGAGACACGGUCCAGACUCCUACGGGAGGCAGCAGUGGGGAAUAUUGGACAAUGGGCGAAAGCCUGAUCCAGCCACGCCGCGUGUGUGAAGAAGGUCCUCGGAUUGUAAAGCACUUUAAGUUGGGAGGAAGGGCAGUAAGUUAAUACCUUGCUGUUUUGACGUUACCAACAGAAUAAGCACCGGCUAACUUCGUG
rnacentral:rRNA from 1 species